rnacentral:piRNA from 1 species
UGGAACAUGUCCUAUCAGAUUUUGACAAGUU